GUUCAGAGCACUGUGAAUUUGGUUCAGACAAGAGGGUUUAGUGUUUUAGCAAUUGAGAAAUACUGUAAUUAACUUCUGACUCAAUGUAAACA